GGGUAUUCCUACAUAGCUGGUCGAACCCACGGCAAAUGGAUCAUAAAGUCUUAAAAAAAGAAUAGAUACGAUUGCAUUGCAUGUAGUAACAGAUGCGAUCAUACCAGCACUAAUGCACCGGAUCCCAUCAGAACUCCGCAGUUAAGUGUGCUUGGGCGAGAGUAGUACUAAGAUGGGUGACCUCGAAGAAUGUCCUCGUGUUGCAUCCCUC
rnacentral:rRNA from 1 species